rnacentral:rRNA from 1 species
UGGGGAAUUUUGCACAAUGGGGGAAACCCUGAUGCAGCGACGCCGCGUGAUUUAGAAGGCCUUCGGGUUGUAAAAAUCUUUUGUAUGAGAAGAAAAUGACAGUACCAUACGAAUAAGGACCGGCUAAUUACGUGCCAGCAGCCGCGGUAAUACGUAAGGUCCGAGCGUUGUCCGGAAUCAUUGGGCGUAAAGGGUACGUAGGCGGAUAAGCAAGUUAGAAGUGAAAUCCUAUAGCUCAACUAUAGUAAGCUUUUAAAACUGCUCAUCUUGAGGUAUGGAAGGGAAAGUGGAAUUCCUAGUGUAGCGGUGAAAUGCGCAGAUAUUAGGAGGAAUACCGGUGGCGAAGGCGACUUUCUGGCCAUAUACUGACGCUGAGGUACGAAAGCGUGGGUAGCAAACAGG